rnacentral:rRNA from 1 species
GAUGAACGCUGGCGGCGUGCCUAAUACAUGCAAGUCGAGCGAACGGACGAGAAGCUUGCUUCUCUGAUGUUAGCGGCGGACGGGUGAGUAACACGUGGAUAACCUACCUAUAAGACUGGGAUAACUUCGGGAAACCGGAGCUAAUACCGGAUAAUAUUUUGAACCGCAUGGUUCAAAAGUGAAAGACGGUCUUGCUGUCACUUAUAGAUGGAUCCGCGCUGCAUUAGCUAGUUGGUAAGGUAACGGCUUACCAAGGCAACGAUGCAUAGCCGACCUGAGCGGGUGAUGGGCCACACAGGAGCUGAGACGCGAUCCAGACUCCUACGGAAGGCAGCGGUAGGGAAUCUUCCGCAAUGGGCGAAAGCCUGACGGAGCAACGCCGCGUGAGUGAUGAAGGUCUUCGGAUCGUAAAACUCUGUUAUUAGGGAAAAACAUAUUUGUAAGUAACUGUGCACAUCUUGACGGUACCUAAUCAGAAAGCCACGGCUAACUACGUG